rnacentral:rRNA from 1 species
CCUACGGGUGGCAGCAGUGGGGAAUUUUCCGCAAUGGGCGAAAGCCUGACGGAGCAAGACCGCGUGAGGGAGGAAGGCUCUUGGGUUGUAAACCUCUUUUCUCAGGGAAGAAGAACUGACGGUACCUGAGGAAUAAGCAUCGGCUAACUCCGUGCCAGCAGCCGCGGUAAUACGGAGGAUGCAAGCGUUAUCCGGAAUCAUUGGGCGUAAAGCGUCCGCAGGUGGAGUGGUAAGUCUGUCGUCAAAGAACGGGGCUUAACCCCGUAAAGGCGAUGGAAAC